GAUGAACGCUGGCGGCGUGCUUAACACAUGCAAGUCGAACGAAGAUGCCGGAGUGCUUGCACUUUGGCAGACUGAGUGGCGGACGGGUGAGUAACGCGUGGGUAACCUGCCUUAUACAGGGGGAUAACAGUUGGAAACGACUGCUAAUACCGCAUAAGCGCACGGUAUCGCAUGAUACAGUGUGAAAAACUCCGGUGGUAUAAGAUGGCCUCGCGUCCGAUUAGCUAGUUGGUGAGGUAACGGCCCACCAAGGCGACGAUCGGUAGCCGGACUGAGAGGUUGAACGGCCACAUUGGGACUGAGAUACGGCCCAGACUCCUACGGGAGGCAGCAGUGGGGAAUAUUGGGCAAUGGGCGCAGGCCUGACCCAGCAACGCCGCGUGAAGGAAGAAGGCUUUCGGGUUGUAAACUUCUUUUAAGAGGGAAGAGCAGAAGACGGUACCUCUAGAAUAAGCCACGGCUAACUACGUG
rnacentral:rRNA from 1 species